rnacentral:sRNA from 1 species
UCGACGUUGAUGGCGGCGCCAGCGUUACAUAAGCCGAAUUCGGAGCCGAGUCGAAGACUCGGUUGAAGCUUGCAAGAAAGCCCCUGGCAGCGCCUCGUUCUGGCCAAGGUAUAAUCUAAUACAGGGUAACGAUGGCAGAUAGAAUCCGAGAGAGUAUGCGCCAAUAAUAUUGGCAGAUCGGGAUUGCCAAAGUAAAAUUCGUUGACAACUUUUACGAGACCUGUGACGCGGGCAAUCGGCAACCCGUCCUCAACUCGAGUCCGAAACUAGGCUAGUAGUGUAAGCUCUGCUCUGGACUGGAUUGGCCUGGACUGGACUGGGCCACUUAACGUUAGUGUGAGUCAAUGGCUGACUAAUGCGAAAUGCACCCAGAAGGCAAACCAUGGCCCAUCAUGGCUCCUGGCCAGCGGCGACUCGAAGGCCAAC